AUGAACGCUGGCGGCGUGCCUAAUACAUGCAAGUCGAGCGAACAGAUGAGGAGCUUGCUCCUCUGACGUUAGCGGCGGACGGGUGAGUAACACGUGGAUAACCUACCUAUAAGACUGGGAUAACUUCGGGAAACCGGAGCUAAUACCGGAUAAUAUAUUGAACCGCAUGGUUCAAUAGUGAAAGGCGGUUUUGCUGUCACUUAUAGAUGGAUCCGCGCCGCAUUAGCUAGUUGGUAAGGUAACGGCUUACCAAGGCAACGAUGCGUAGCCGACCUGAGAGGGUGAUCGGCCACACUGGAACUGAGACACGGUCCAGACUCCUACGGGAGGCAGCAGUAGGGAAUCUUCCGCAAUGGGCGAAAGCCUGACGGAGCAACGCCGCGUGAGUGAUGAAGGUCUUCGGAUCGUAAAACUCUGUUAUUAGGGAAGAACAAAUGUGUAAGUAACUAUGCACGUCUUGACGGUACCUAAUCAGAAAGCCACGGCUAACUACGUG
rnacentral:rRNA from 1 species